CGGAGUAUAACUCAGUUUGGUAGAGUGCUUGGUUUGGGACCAAGAUGCCGCAGGUUCGAAUCCUGCUACUCCGACCA
rnacentral:tRNA from 2 species